UACGAAGGGGGCUAGCGUUGCUCGGAAUCACUGGGCGCAAAGGGUGCGUAGGCGGGUCUUUAAGUCAGGGGUGAAAUCCUGGAGCUCAACUCCAGAACUGCCUUUGAUACUGAAGAUCUUGAGUUCGGGAGAGGUGAGUGGAACUGCGAGUGUAGAGGUGAAAUUCGUAGAUAUUCGCAAGAACACCAGUGGCGAAGGCGGCUCACUGGCCCGAUACUGACGCUGAGGCACGAAAGCGUGGGGAGCAAACAGG
rnacentral:rRNA from 1 species